GGCCCGGUAGCUCAGUUGGUAGAGCAGCGGACUUUUAAUCCGUCGGUCCUGGGUUCGAGCCCCAGCCGGGUCA
rnacentral:tRNA from 1 species